AUUGAACGCUGGCGGCAGGCUUAACACAUGCAAGUCGAGCGGGGUGAUGGUGCUUGCACUAUCACUUAGCGGCGGACGGGUGAGUAAUGCUUAGGAAUCUGCCUAUUAGUGGGGGACAACAUCUCGAAAGGGAUGCUAAUACCGCAUACGUCCUACGGGAGAAAGCAGGGGAUCACUUGUGACCUUGCGCUAAUAGAUGAGCCUAAGUCGGAUUAGCUAGUUGGUGGGGUAAAGGCCUACCAAGGCGACGAUCUGUAGCGGGUCUGAGAGGAUUGUCCGCCACACUGGGACUGAGACACGGCCCAGACUCCUACGGGAGGCAGCAGUGGGGAAUAUUGGACAAUGAGGGGAACCCUGAUCCAGCCAUGCCGCGUGUGUGAAGAAGGCCUUAUGGUUGUAAAGCACUUUAAGCGAGGAGGAGGCUCUUUUGGUUAAUACCCAAGAUGAGUGGACGUUACUCGCAGAAUAAGCACCGGCUAACUCUGUGCCAGCCGCCGCCGUAA
rnacentral:rRNA from 1 species